GCGCGAAAACUUCGCACUGUGCGAAAGCACGACGAGGGGAUCCCAAGUGCUAGCACGUAAGUGUUAGCUGUUUUUCUGUCUAAAAAACAGAGAGAGUAAGGGCUGGGUAAGACGGGUGCCAGCCGCCGCGGUAAUACCUGCAGCCCAAGUGGUGGCCACUAUUAUUGGGCCUAAAACGUCCGUAGCCGGUUUUGUAAAUGCCUGGGUAAAUUGUAUAGCUUAACUAUACGAAUUCCGGGUAGACUGCAAGACUUGAGACUGGGAGAAGCUAGAGGUACUCCGGGGGUAGAGGUGAAAUUCUGUAAUCCUCGGGGGACCACCGGUGGCGAAGGCGUCUAGCUAGAACAGGUCUGACGGUGAGGGACGAAGCCCUGGGGCGCAAACGGGAUUAGAUACCCCGGUAGUCCAGGGUGUAAACGCUGCUCGCUUGAUGUUAGCUGGGCUUCGAGCCCAGCUAGUGUCGGAGAGAAGUUGUUAAGCGAGCUGCCUGGGAAGUACGGUCGCAAGACUAGAAACGUUAAAGGAAUUGGGCGGGGGAGCGACCG
rnacentral:rRNA from 1 species